rnacentral:sRNA from 1 species
AAAUAAUGAUGAAGAAAAUUCUUCAUGUUGAAAGACAGUGCUACCAGAUGGAUAGCUGGAUUUUCAGGAUGGAAACAGGGAAUUGCAAAUAGUCUUUUUUAGCACUGGUGAACUUGUUAUCCUAUCCUGCUAUUUAUGAGCUUGUAAGGAAUCAAGAUCUUCCUAAUAAAACAGAAUAUUCUCUUCGUGAAGUCCCAAUAUGUGUUAUUGGACUUUAUAAUUGAUGGCUUAUCAGUGGAGAGAAAUCAUGUUCUUGUUAGAAUAAAUCUUGUUGGUGGGCCAUUGGAACGGAUUUUGCCUCCGAGGAUACUCGAAAAGAGUGAUAAUCCAUAUCCUUGGCCAAUGUUUUCAUCAUAUCCAUUGCCAAACUGCUAUCUGUCAGACAUUACAAGAAAUGCUGGUAUAAAACAAGACAAUGAUCUUGACAAGCUUUUAUUAUGCCUCAAAAUAUCUGAUAAACAAACUGAAUGGAUAGAAAACUGCCAAAGACAAUUUUGCAAAAUGAUGAAAGCCAAACCUGAUAUAAUCAGUGGAGAGGCCUUAAUAGAAUUACUUGAAAAAUUUGUGCUUCAUCUCACUGAAAGCCCAUCUGAAUGCUACUUCCCUUCAGUGGAGUAUACAGCUACUGAUGCAAAUGUGAAGAAUGAAAGUCUUUCAUCUGUGCAGCAGCUUGGCAUUAAAAUGACUGUCAGGUAUGGCAAAUUCCUCAAUCUCUUAAAAGAUGGUGCAGAAAAUGAUCUUACCUGGGUUUUAAAGCAUUGUGAGAGAUUCCUGAAACAGCAGCAAACUUCCAUAAAAUCUUCUCUUCUCUGCCUGCAAGGGAAUUAUGCUGGCCAUGACUGGUUUGUAUCUUCUCUGUUCAUGAUAAUGUUGGGAGACAAAGAAAAAACAUUCCAAUUUCUUCGUCAAUUUUCCAGGCUUCUGACUUCUGCUUUUCUUUGGUUGCCAAGGCUACAUAUUUCUAGUUACCUUCCUAAUGACACUGUAGAAUCUGGCAUCCAUCCAGUAUAUUUUUGCAGCACCCAUUAUAUUGAAAUGCUACUGAAGGCUGAGUUGCCUCUUGUGUUUUCAGCUUUUCACAUGUCUGGCUUUGCACCAUCACAGAUUUGCCUGCAAUGGAUAACCCAGUGUUUUUGGAAUUACUUAGAUUGGAUAGAAAUCUGCCAUUAUAUUGCUACUUGUGUUUUCCUUGGUCCUGAUUAUCAAGUGUAUAUCUGUAUAGCUGUAUUCAAACAUUUACAGCAAGACAUUCUACAGCACACUCAGACUCAAGAUCUGCAAGUUUUCCUAAAAGAAGAAGCACUGCAUGGGUUUCGAGUGAGUGAUUAUUUUGAAUACAUGGAAAUUUUGGAACAAAACUACCGAACAGUGCUGCUGAGAGACAUGCGGAACAUUAGACUGCAGAGCACAUAGAUCAUGAGACACACGGUUUAAAUUUAGGUUUUAUUUAUUUUUAAACACAGCAGGGGGGCUUGAUGUUUUUCUGUGUCUGUAACAACAUUUACUUUGUGAAUAUACAUAUUGUAAAUACUGAGAACUAUAAUGAUAUAUUUAAGUAGGUAUGAGCUCAAUUUGUGAAUUCAUUUUUGUAAAUUUGUUGUUUUGUAAGGUCAUUAUAGAAUCAGAUCUAGCUUACUUUUAGUUCUUAUUCAUGUUUAAGAGUUAGUCCUGGCCAGGCGCGGUGGCUCAUGCCUGUAAUCCCAGCACUUUGGGAGUCUGAGGUGGGCGGAUCAUGAGGUCAAGAGAUUGAGACCAUCCUGGCCAAAAUGGUGAAACCUCAUCUCUGCUAACAAUACUGAAAUUAGCUGGGUGCAGUGGGGCGCCUGUAGUCCCUGCUACUUGGGAGGCUGAGGCAGGAGAAUCGCUUGAACCCGGGAGGCGGAGGUUGCAGUGAGCCAAGAUCGUGCCACUGUACUCCAGCCUGGCCACAGAGUGAGACGCUGUCUCAAAAAAAAAAAAAAAAAAAAAAAAAAAAAGUCCCAACUUACAUCUCCUUUAUUCAGGUGAUUUAAAUAUUUUUUCCAGUGAAUUUGGAAAGGAGAAGUAAUAGUGUAAAUAAUAUUUUGACUAGCUGCAGAAAGCCCGUAAGACAAGGAAAAGACAGUAUUUCUUCCAUUCUUUAUGUCUGUACAUGUAAAGGAAAAUGGAUAAAACCACAACUGCUUCUUUUACAUGUGGAAGAACAAUGAUACUAUUUACCAUGGCAAGUGGUAGGAAAACUGUUGUCCUUGGACAUAAUUGUUUUUUAGGAGUUGCUUUUGAUACCCAUAUCAAUUUAUAAUUCUUUGUUUGAAAUGAAGUCUUUACAUGGUUCAUUGAAGAGAUAGAUUGGUUAUUUCAUACUGAUAAGCAUUCUACUCUUAUUUGUUAUGCAUUUUCCUUAGUGAUAUAUUUUACUUGUACUGAACUUGAAAAUAUAAAGGAGAAUACAUUUCUAAAUUAUUUUAAAUGGCUAACACUAUGAUUUGUCUUAUUUAAAUAGAUGUCUCUGCACCGGUAAGAUUAAUACAAUAUGUGAAUGUCUAUUUUUUAUAUCUUAACUCACAAUGAGUAUAUGAAAGAUAAUACACGAAUAUAUUACAUUAUUCAUUUUUAGUCAUGAGUUUAUUUCAAUAAGUUUUUCUAAUUGUAGAUACUGUUUUUUAUUCUUUCCUUGUAUCUAAAUAUAAAUCAACCAUUAAAAUCAUUCUAACUCUAA